GGGGGGUGAGAUUUUGUGUGUGCGUGUGUGUGUGUGUGGGGGGGUGUGUGUAGGUGUGUGUGUGUGUGUGACAAUUAGAGAAAGCAGACUAAUUACCUUAACAUAUAUUCUCUUGCAAAUCAUAUGUAACAUCAAAACACUCAGAAAAAGGCAUAAAUAACGCACUGUUCUAGCUUUUUUCAUUGUAGGUGUUGACGUUCAG
rnacentral:lncRNA from 1 species